GCAAGGUGAUCAUCCGCGGGUUCAGCGUCUUUUUGGGCUCGUGAUCACUCACAGAAGAUCCUACGCGCUGUCUUCCCGGUCGUCAGAUUACCAGUUGUGCUAUGUUGUGGCCACUCUUCAUCCUGGGAUACGUGGUACUGGUGACGUCACGGCCUUCGUCAUCAACUACAAACGAAAUAUUGGAUGACGUCACAUGGCGAAAGCUGCCGGCGAUGUUGCGCCAAGACUCGUCGCAGUGGAUAUCAUCGUAUAACAUCCCUGAAAGUCCGGGACCAGGUAACAGCAAGCGGGCUCUGUCUGUCUUGUCCCGCUGGAAGCCAUUCAGUGUGGGGUUCACCAACCUGGUGGGGCGUUACCCACCACGCGCCCCACUCGUCUCCAUGAUACCGGAACUGGACUUUGUGUCUGCGGAAACUCGAGGGACCCUGCGGCCAAUUGGUCAGCCCCUACGCUGGGGUCGUCGCUAAUUCAGCAAUGUGUUAUAUUACUGUGUUCCGUAACACUGCUGCAACAGUGUAGGCUAUUCUAUGAAGUAAAUACUUCCAUGAAUGUACGAUCUUUGAAUCUUCUAAAUACAAAGACAAGCACUUGUUACCUGUUUCAAAUAAAUAUGAAUUUCAACAACUUUUCCUAAUUAAAAAAGGAGAGUGACAGAAAUAAGACGUAACCCAUCUUAACUUUAAAUGCCGACUUUCAUAAUUAAAUUUAUUUUUCUUAUAAUAUGUGAUGAACAUUUUGAGAGAGAUAACAGACCAGGAUUCAUAAAAUAUGUAAAAAAGGCAAAGCUGUUUCUGUGCCUAACUAAUUAAGCACAACAUCAUGAAGACAUUUGGGGGGAGUUUAUGUAUAAUUCAACAUUUUCUUGACCUCGGCACUAGUUGAACGUGAGUGGUGAGCUCAAGCCCCGGCCGCUUUACCCCCAAGGUAAAAGCCCACGAUAACCAUUGUCUAGGAGGCUGGAUGGGUCACAGAGGCGGUCUGGGUGACGUUGAGAAGAGAAAAUUAUUGUUCAUACCGGGAUACGAACUCUGUGACCCCUCGGCUGUCCAGUCCGUAGUCAGUCGCUAUACCUACUGCGCUAUC